UUCAGUUGUGGGUCCUAGAGAAAAUCAUUCAAACUCUCUGUUCCUCAGUCACCUCAUCUGUAAGACUGUGGGGAUAAAGGGCUUACAUCAGUACCCGGCCACUGUGAGGACCAGCUUCCACCAGGCCUGGCGGGCAGAGGUGCACGGUUGGUGCUUCUGAGUGAGGGGCCCACGUGUGAGUGCUCUGGCAGUGGAAACAGGUGGCACCGGACGUGGCCCCGGAAGGGCUCAGGGAGACGGGUCUUCCAAGCUGCCUCGCACAUCACAGGUCUCAGUGCGUCCGGCAAACCUGGCCCACCGCCUGUUGUCGAGCUUAACUGAAACCUGGCUACGCUCACUUGUUUGCAUGUUCCCAUGCCUGCUGUGGUGCUAAUGACGGAGACUGCUCGGCCCCCAGAGCUGAAUAUGCUUCCCGCCUGAUCCUUGAUCUCAGCUUUUUGGAGCCGUGUGCCAUGCUCUGCCUCAGACCCGCCCACACUGGAGAUACUGAGCUGCUGCAAAUCUCCCCCGGGGCCCUCGCUGGUGUGGGUUGAUCACUGGCAUCUUCUUCAGGCAGAGGAGUCCUCUUUCCUGAGUUUCCAUGUGUCGAUGACACUCAUCUCUUCUCCAAAUCCAUCCACGCACUGGCAGCAGGGAGCAGGACAGGGGACGCAGCCAGGCCCCUGAUACUACCCCUCUAAGUGUGAGCCAAGACAGUUGCUGGCACACCUCGGGGCCACUUCUUCCUCCCAGGGCUGUAGGAGUUGGGGUUUGAGAAGCAUCCAUAUUUCUUUGCAUUAGUGGCCUUAUUCUCAUCACUUGUCAGGGGCUUGCCCCUGGGGACACGCAGAUAUUUUUGGUUGUCAUGACUAGAGAGGUGGGGGCUGCUGGCAUCUGGUGGGUAGAUGCCACUCACACCCUCCAGUGGAUAGGACACCCUCCCCACUGACCCAACUAGAGUUAUCCAUCCCCAGAUGUCAGCGGGGCUAGGGUGAAGCCCCAUGGGAGAUGCUCAUCUUCACGAGGGAGGGACAGGGUCUGCUUUGCUCUGCACUGAAUCCCUCACACAUGGCACCAGCUCAAAGAACAGUUCCUGAUGCAUGAGUGUGUGCUUGCUUCUGGGCAGGCCCCGGGCUCAGGCAGUGUGUGACCCAUGUGCCAGCAGGGGACA